UACGUAGGGUGCGAGCGUUGCCCGGAUUUAUUGGGCGUAAAGGGCGCGUAGGCGGCUCUGCACGUCCGUUGUGAAAUCGCCCGGCUCAACUGGGCGGGGUCAGCGGAUACGGCGGAGCUUGAGCAAGCUAGGGGGCAAUGGAAUUCCCGGUGUAGUGGUGGAAUGCGUAGAUAUCAAGAGGAACACCUGAGGCGAAGGCGGGUUGCUAGGCUGACACUGACGCUGACAGCGCGAAAGCCAGGGGAGCAAACGGG
rnacentral:rRNA from 1 species